rnacentral:rRNA from 1 species
GUGACUCAGACUAGCCAUGCACGUCUAGUACAAACUAAAUGAUGGUGAAACUGCAAAUGGCUCAUUACAACGGUUAUGAUGUACCCGGGAGUUCCGAUGGAUAUUUCCAGUAACACUAGAACUAAUACAUGUCCCUGCGUUUAUUAGUUUCGCACAGUCCGUCGCUGAGUCAUGGUAAACAGUUGAUCGACUCGACGUCCCGGAACAGUUUCCGCCCCAUCAGCUUCGAUGGUUGGGUAUUGGCCUACCAUUGCAACAACGGGUAACGAGGAAUUAGGGUUUGAUUUCGGAGAGGGAGCCUGAGAAACGGCUACCACAUCUACGGAUGGCAGCAGGCGCGCAAAUUACCCAAUGCAGACACUGUGAGGUAGUGACGAGAAAUAAUAAAGCGGGACUUCUGUUUCGCUAUUAUAAUGAGGAAUAACCAAAGGUCAUUCCGAUUAGCAACUGAUGGGAAAGUCUGGUGCCAGCAGCCGCGGUAAUACCAGCGUCAGUAGCAU